rnacentral:rRNA from 1 species
CAGUCGCCACGGGAACACGUAGGGUGCGAGCGUUAAUCGGAAUUACUGGGCGUAAAGCGUGCGCAGGCGGUUGUGUAAGACAGGUGUGAAAUCCCCGGGCUUAACCUGGGAACUGCGCUUGUGACUGCACAGCUAGAGUAUGGCAGAGGGGGGUGGAAUUCCACGUGUAGCAGUGAAAUGCGUAGAGAUGUGGAGGAACACCGAUGGCGAAGGCAGCCCCCUGGGCCAGUACUGACGCUCAUGCACGAAAGCGUGGGGAGCGAACAGGAUUAGAUACCCCGGUAGUCCCUGUCUCUUAUAC